AAUAAAAAACUAUGCAUUACCUUUAUUUUACUUUUACAAACUAAAUCAAGGACAAAAAAUAAAAAAAAAUUUAAGUUAUCAAAAUUGUAAGUAUUUUUAUUUAAUAUGGAUAAUAGACCAGAGUGGGGAAAAGGAUGUAGUCGUGGAUGUCUUUUACCCCAACGUGUUGUUGUUGCUAUAAUGAGUUUUUUGGCAAUUAUUUGCGCCUACACUCAUCGUGUUUCAAUUUCUCAUGUUAUCACCAAAUUGGUAGUACCCAUUAAUCGGACAAACGAUGAAGUGGAUCACGAAGAUGUAUGCCCAGUAGAUGAAGACACCUCGACAGAGACCCCUCUAUAUGCAGAAUAAAGGCGAUUACGACUGGAGUGAACAGAUGCAGGGCUACAUUCUGGGCAGCUUCUAUUUGGGUUAUCUUAUCUCGCAACUGCCAGGCGGAGUCUUGGCUGACAAAUAUGGUGCCAAAUGGGUGCUGAGUGCAUGCUUGCUGCUUUCUGGUCUGUGUACAAUGUGUUUGCCAUUGGCAAUACAUGUGGGUGAAGAAUGGGGACUAAUAGUAAUGCGUGUGUUUACGGGACUAGCACAAGGACCUCUGUUUCCAGGGCUCACGGCCUUGCUCUCCUCUUGGGUACCAUCCCAUGAGCGUGGCAGAUUGUGUGCCUUUGCCUUCAGUGGAGUUACUAUAGGUACGGUCGUUAGUAACCUAAGUUCUGGGCUCAUGCUUCACUACUACCAUUGGUCAGUUACCUUUGUGGUUUUUGGUUUAACGGGACCUGUGUGGUUUAUAAUAUUUUUUUUUUUAUGUACUACGACCGGACCAACAUCCGUGCAUUAAGCCUGAAGAACUUAGCUAUCUGACUGAAGCAUUAGGAGAACGUAGCCAGGGAAAGUCGCCGCUACCAUGGAAGGAAUUGUUACUCAGUGUACCUUUACUGGCGUUGGUAAUAAGUCAAAUCGGCCAUGACUGGGGUUACUAUGUAAUGAUUACGUGUCUUCCCAAAUACAUUGCUAAUGUUAUUCGGUUUUCGAUUCGAUCGAAUGGAUUUGUGACGGCCCUUCCAUUUCUUGCUAUGUUCAUUUGUACGAAUCUUGCUGGUUUACUUGCAGAUUAUAUAAUUAAGUCGGGAAAAAUGUCUAUAACCAAUGAACGUAAAUUAUAUACUUUUAUAUCUGCCUUUGGACCUGGUGCAUUCACCGUUUUGGCUUCAUAUGCAGGAUGCAAUAAGAUUCUUGUAAUUGGUUUGUUUACUUUUGCAAUGUUUCUAAUGGGUUUUUAUUACUCUGGACAAAAGUUGACACCCAUGGACAUGUCACCAAGCUAUGCAGGCACCUUAAUGGCGAUUUGCAAUGGACUUGGCUCUCUUGCAGGUUUAGCCUCUCCUCCAGUUGUCGGUUAUUUGACGCCAAACGCCACAAUGAAUGAGUGGCGCGUUGUAUUUUGGUUGGGUUUCGUGAUCUUUAUCAUAUCUGCCAUUGUAUUUGCGGUCAUUGGCACAGCAGAGGUUCAGCCUUACGAUCCAGCAUAUACAGGCGAAAAGAAAAAAGGAUAAAUCUAUGAUGUAUG